rnacentral:rRNA from 1 species
AUGAACGCUGGCGGCGUGCCUAAUCCAUGCAAGUCGAGCGAACAGACGAGGAGCUUGCUCCUCUGACGUUAGCGGCGGACGGGUGAGUAACACGUGGAUAACCUACCUAUAAGACUGGGAUAACUUCGGGAAACCGGAGCUAAUACCGGAUAAUAUAUUGAACCGCAUGGUUCAAUAGUGAAAGACGGUUUUGCUGUCACUUAUAGAUGGAUCCGCGCCGCAUUAGCUAGUUGGUAAGGUAACGGCUUACCAAGGCAACGAUGCGUAGCCGACCUGAGAGGGUGAUCGGCCACACUGGAACUGAGACACGGUCCAGACUCCUACGGGAGGCAGCAGUAGGGAAUCUUCCGCAAAGGGCGAAAGCCUGACGGAGCAACGCCGCGUGAGUGAUGAAGGUCUUCGGAUCGUAAAACUCUGUUAUUAGUGAAGAACAAAUGUGUAAGUAACUAUGCACGUCUUGACGGUACCUAAUCAGAAAGCCACGGCUAACUACGUG